rnacentral:rRNA from 1 species
GACGAACGCUGGCGGCGUGCUUAACACAUGCAAGUCGAACGGUAAGGCCCUUCGGGGUACACGAGUGGCGAACGGGUGAGUAACACGUGGGUGAUCUGCCCUGCACUUCGGGAUAAGCCUGGGAAACUGGGUCUAAUACCGGAUAGGACUCCGGACUGCAUGGUCUGGGGUGGAAAGCUUUUGCGGUGUGGGAUGGGCCCGCGGCCUAUCAGCUUGGUGGUGGGGUGGUGGCCUACCAAGGCGACGACGGGUAGCCGGCCUGAGAGGGUGACCGGCCACACUGGGACUGAGAUACGGCCCAGACUCCUACGGGAGGCAGCAGUGGGGAAUAUUGCACAAUGGGCGCAAGCCUGAUGCAGCGACGCCGCGUGAGGGAUGACGGCCUUCGGGUUGUAAACCUCUUUCAGCACAGACGAAGCGCAAGUGACGGUAUGCGCAGAAGAAGGACCGGCCAACUACGUGCCAGCCGCCGCCGUAA